UUGAGCCGUUGUUUGGGAAUUCUUGCCUUCACUCAUCUCCUGCAGCCUCUCCUGCAGCCUUGCCUCAUCGCUGUGCCGGCUCCUACAACGCUGAUUCUCAUUUCUUCGUCCGUGUGUUCACCCGUUUGCUAUAUUCACUGAUUGUUUCUACCUUUGAUCCACAAGAACUUUCAUUGCUAUUCUAUUAUUUAUUCAGGUUUUUCACCCAUCACUGGAUCUAGAAGCAAUUCCAGUGGUGGUCUUUCAAUCCAUUCAGGCCAUCCCACACACAGAAAAUCAAAAAAAAAAAAUUAUUGCUAUAGUGUUUGCCCCCUUUUUUUUCAUUGUCCAUCUUUAUGAGUCGAAUUUGUUCUCCUGUUUUCCUCAAUUCCUCUGGAAACUCUCUUUUAGCCUAGUGGCCCUCACCUUAGAAAAGGAGAAGUCUGCUUAGGAGAAGUCUGUUAUUUUACCUGUUUCUCGUAAUUAGUCUUUCUACACCCAAGAUCUCUUCAUCCACAAAACAAACACAACUCCCUCCCUUGUCCUAUACACCCAAAAAAAUAAACCCUAUAAUCCGAUGGAAGUGGCAUUAGCUACUGCUGCCUUAAGCGUAAGCUUAAAAUUGGCUGCAUCGCCGGCCUUAAGGAAACUCCUUUCUAAUGCUUCAACAUACCUUGGAGUCGAUAUGGCGCGUGAGCUCCAUGAACUGGAGACCACUAUCUUGCCGCAAUUCGAGCUGUUGAUUGAAGCAGCAGAUAAGGGAAACCACAAGCUCAAGUUGCACAAAUGGCUUCAGGAACUCAAAGAAGGUUUCUACCUGGCUGAAGACUUGCUGGAUGAUCAUGAGUAUAACCUCCUCAAGCGCCAAGCAAAGGGGAAGGAUUCCUUGCCGGCCAAUGCCUCCUCCAUCAGCAACACUUUUAUGAAGCCUCUGCGUGAUGCAUCAAGCAGGCUGUCCAAUCUGAGCUCUGAGAACAGAAAGCUAAUUCAACAUCUGAAUGAACUGAAGACCACCCUGGCGAAAGGCAAGGACUUCCGUAAACUGCUUUGCUUACCAGCUGAUUAUAAUGCAGAGAACCCUCCCAUAUCAUCAUCUGUUGUUCCUGAGACCACAUCAAUACCACCUCUGAAAGUGAUUGGCCGUGACAAGGAUUGUGAUCAUAUAAUAAAGCAUCUUACCAGGACAACUGCUAGUACUGAUUCUAGUAUAGCUUUGUACUCGGGUUUAGCCAUCGUUGGAGCUGGAGGCAUGGGAAAGUCCACCUUGGCACAACUUGUUUACAAUGACCCGAGGAUAAACGAAUAUUUUGCUGUGACAAUGUGGGUAAGCAUCUCACGCAAACUUGAUGUCCGCCGUCAUACACGGGAGAUCAUCGAGUCUGCCUCUCAGGGGGAAUGCCCACGCAUUGAUAACCUUGAUACUCUGCAGCGCAAGUUAACAGACAUACUGCAAGGAUCAGGGAAAUUCCUGCUUGUGUUGGAUGAUGUUUGGUUUGAACCUGGUAGCGAAAGGGAAUGGGACCAACUGUUAGCUCCUCUAGUUUCCCAACAUAUGGGAAGCAAAGUCUUGGUAACUUCUCGACGAGAUACAUUCCCACCUGCUCUUUGCUGUGAAGAAGUGUGUCCUCUGGAAAAGAUGGAGGAUGCUCAGUUCUUGGCACUCUUCAGACACCAUGCAUUCUCUGGACCAGAAAUCAGAAAUCCACAGUUGUGUAAAAAGCUGGAAGGUUUUGCAGAGAAGAUUGCUAAAAGGCUUGGACAAUCUCCUUUGGCGGCAAAAGUUGUGGGUUCUCAGUUGAAAGGGAAAACAGAUAUAUCUUCAUGGAAUGAUGCUCUAACUUUAACAAUUGACAAAUUAAGUGAGCCCAUGGCAGCUUUGUUGUGGAGUUAUAAGAAGUUAGAUCCAUGUCUGCAAAGGUGCUUCCUAUACUGUAGCCUAUUUCCAAAAGGCUACAGAUAUGUCAUUGAUGAUUUGGUUUAUCUUUGGAUGGGUGAGGGUCUUUUUGAUUCCUGCAACCAAAACAAGAGAGUGAAAGAUAUUGGGAGGGAUUGCUUCAAGGAGAUGGUCUCUGUUUCAUUCUUUCAACCAUACGUUGGCCCGUAUUAUGUUAUGCAUGAUCUCCUUCAUGAUCUGGCAGAAUCACACUCCAAAGAAGACUACUUCAGAUUGGAAGAUGAUAAGGUGACAGAAAUAUCAUCCACUGUUCGACACCUAUCUGUUCGUGUUGAUAGUAUGAUGCAACACAAGCAAAGUAUCUGCAAGCUACAUCAUUUACGCACUAUUAUCUGCAUAGACCCCAUAGUGGAUGAUGUACGUGACCUUUUUAAUCAGAUAAUACAGAAUUUGAAGAAGUUGCGCGUGCUAUGCUUGUCAUCUUACAGCAGUAGUAAGUUGCCAGAUUCUGCUGGUGACUUGAAGCACCUUCGGUAUUUGAAUCUUAAAGAAACACUGAUUUCUGAAUUGCCAAGAUCAUUGUGUACCCUUUACCACUUACAGUUACUUCUGUUAAAUGGUAAAGUUAAGAGUUUCCCUGAGAAACUCAGCAAUUUAGUGAAGUUACAACAUCUUGAAUCGAGCUUCAAAGAAGCAAUUCCUAACAUUGGCAAGCUAACUUUGCUUCAACAAUUAGGGGAAUUUUCUGUGCAAAAGAAAAAGGGAUAUGAGUUACAACAGCUCAGGGACAUGAACGAGAUUCAUGGCAGUUUAAGGGUCACAAAUCUUGAGAAUGUUGCUGGGAAGGAUCAAGCCUUAGAAUCAAAGCUGCACAAGAAAAGUCAACUUGGCAGCUUAGAACUUGUAUGGAGUUAUGAAAAUAACACAAAUGCAGAGGAUAGUUUACAUUUGGAGGUUCUAAAAGGCCUGAUGCCACCGCCUCAGCUUAGGGAUCUUACAAUUGACGGUUACAGAUCUUCAGAAUAUCCAAGCUGGUUACUUGAUGGUUCAUAUUUUGAGAAUUUGGGAUCUUUAAGCUUUAAUAAUUGCAGCGCAUUACAAAGCCUACCGUCCAAUAGUAAGCUAUUUGAGAAUUGCUCUUCACUUUUCCUCAGCAAUGUGCCAAACCUAAAGUCAUUACCUUUUCUUCCAGUAGGCCUUCGUUUUUUACAUGUAGACAAUUGCCCACUGCUUAUAUUUAUUUCCAACGAUGAGAUGGAACAUCAUGAUCAGAGAGAGAAUAUCAUGAGGACAGACCACUUGGAAUCACAGUUUCGUUUAAUCUGGCAGGUGGAUUCAAGAUCACUUAUUAGGUCUGUACUCCCGAGGGAACAUUCAGUUCUGAAGCAGUUGUUGACACUGAUGCAUAGUGAUGUGACACAUGUUCAAAACCUUGAGAGCGCUCUACAAAGAGAGAAGGAUAAAGUAUUGGUGAAGGAGGAUGUCAUCAAGGCAUGGAUAUAUUGUCACGAGCAAAGGAUGCGACUCACAUAUGGAAGUAGCAUUGGGCUGCCACUUGUUCCACCAUCAGGACUUCGUCAACUUUAUCUUUCUUCAUGCUGUAUUACAGAUGGAGCUUUAGCUGUUUGCCUUGCUGGCCUAGCUUCACUGAAAAUUUUGUUCUUAGUAGAGAUUAUGACUCUAACUACACUUCCUUCAGAAGAGGUCCUCCAACAUUUGACAGAACUUUCCAGCUUGUCCAUCUAUGAUUGCUGGUGUCUCAGGUCGUUAAGGGGCUUACGAGCUGCUACCUCUCUUUCAUGUGUUGAUUUGAUUUCCUGCCCUUCUUUAGAGUUGGCAUGUGGAGCAGAAUGUUUGCCAUCAUCACUUGAGAGGCUUAGUAUACAGAAUUGUGUGUUUGCAGUUGACUUCCUCUGUACUGAUUGGCCACACAUGAAUCAUGUUCUCAUAGGGAAUUGCAGAAGUGCCAGAUGCUUGUCUGUUGGUAGUUUCACAUCUGUUAAAUGUUUGUCGCUGAAGUGCUUGCCAGAUUUAUGUGUGCUCGAAGGAUUGUCUUCCCUGCAACUUGACCAUUUACGUUUGAUUGAUGUUCCAAAGCUCACCCCUGAGUGUAUCUCACAGUUUCGAGUACAGGACUCACUUCAUGUUAGCAGUCCUGUAAUACUCAACGACAUGCUCUUGGCUGAAGCUUCCACAGUUCCAGCACAUCUCACUUUUGAAGGAUGCAAGGAACCAUUCAUUUCAUUUGAAGAAUCCGCAAAUUUCACAUCUAUGUGGAGAUUGACGUUCCGUGAUUGUCAAAUGAUUUCCCUGCCAACAAAUCUGAAGUGCUUCACCAAUCUGAAGAGUCUCGACAUCUGUGGAUGCCCCAACAUAUCUUCGUUACCAGAUCUGCCAACCUCCCUCCAGCAUAUAAGCAUAGGGUGUUGUGAGCUCUUGAAGGAGAACUGCCGAGCACCUGAUGGAGAAAGUUGGCCAAAGAUCGCACAUAUUCGCUGGAAGGACAUUUUUUGAAGUGUGAUUUAGAUUCCCACCUACAAAUUAACGGAAAGGUUUCAGCAACCUUUUACGAGGUGGAAUGCCUUAGGACUCGUACUCCUCCAGCUGGCCCUGAUCCCCUGGCUCGGUCUUCUACUCCACAGAUUGCCUCAUGCAUUGCCCUCUCGCACGGCACUGUCACUAAUGGACAUUGGUGGCUUGGCUGCAAUGGAUGACUACUACAGCUACAAACUGCAGAACCUGCAAGACUCACCUGCUGACAACUUCGGUACCGUUUGGGCUGUCCUGAUAGUAGCUGCCGAUGGCUGUAAGAGCACAAUCUUCGGCCACAUUGCCUCAAACAUUAGGCUCUGUCGUUGCCUGCUGUCUGAUGCCGAGAGACCAGGCUGUUAAUUUGGCUCCGUGCCUGUGUGCAUGCAGCCAACCGACAGCAACGAGGAGCACCGGGUGAGGAAGCGGCUUUCUUGGCUUCUGGCCCUUACGAACACAAUGAAGGAGGCUCCACUCCUGGUGCCGUGUGAGAGCGGUGUUGACGGCAACAGCAAGUGCUUCUGGAUAAACCUGAAGGAGGCCAUACGCCAUCUAUUCGAGGAGCUAAUGGCGCUGCCAACCAUAUGCGCAGUAGGUCUCUGCCUAACAGACCGCAACAUUGUAUCACUGCAAGGGUAAAAGGGUUUUUGACUGAAUUUGGUGUCAACUACAUCCUGGCUGAUAAUACUCCCUC